rnacentral:miRNA from 1 species
GGGCCAAAUCCUCAGGGGGUGUAAGUCAGUGUAGCAUCACUAAGGCAGCAUGACUACUCUGAUUUACACUAGCUGAGGAU